rnacentral:tRNA from 1 species
GAGGAUAUAGCUCAAGUGGUAGAGUGCAUGCUUAGCAUGCAUGAGGUCCUGGGUUCAAUCCCCAGUACCUCU